UACGUAGGGGGCAAGCGUUGUCCGGAAUCAUUGGGCGUAAAGAGCGUGUAGGCGGCCAGAUAAGUCCGCUGUGAAAGUCGGGGGGCUCAACCCUCGAAUGCCGGUGGAUACUGUCGGGCUCGAGUGCGGGAGAGGCGAGUGGAAUUCCUGGUGUAGCGGUGGAAAUGCGCAGAUAUCAGGAGGAACACCGAUGGCGAAGGCAGGUCUCUGGGCCAUAACUGACGCUGAGAAGCGAAAGCAUGGGGAGCGAACAGG
rnacentral:rRNA from 1 species